AAAUUGAAGAGUUUGAUCAUGGCUCAGAUUGAACGCUGGCGGCAGGCCUAACACAUGCAAGUCGAACGGUAACAGGAAGAAGCUUGCUUCUUUGCUGACGAGUGGCGGACGGGUGAGUAAUGUCUGGGAAACUGCCUGAUGGAGGGGGAUAACUACUGGAAACGGUAGCUAAUACCGCAUAACGUCGCAAGACCAAAGAGGGGGACCUUCGGGCCUCUUGCCAUCGGAUGUGCCCAGAUGGGAUUAGCUAGUAGGUGGGGUAACGGCUCACCUAGGCGACGAUCCCUAGCUGGUCUGAGAGGAUGACCAGCCACACUGGAACUGAGACACGGUCCAGACUCCUACGGGAGGCAGCAGUGGGGAAUAUUGCACAAUGGGCGCAAGCCUGAUGCAGCCAUGCCGCGUGUAUGAAGAAGGCCUUCGGGUUGUAAAGUACUUUCAGCGGGGAGGAAGGGAGUAAAGU
rnacentral:rRNA from 1 species